rnacentral:rRNA from 1 species
UACGGAGGGUGCAAGCGUUAAUCGGAAUUACUGGGCGUAAAGCGUACGCAGGCGGUUAUGCAAGACAGAUGUGAAAUCCCCGGGCUUAACCUGGGAACCGCAUUUGUGACUGCAUAGCUGGAGUACGGCAGAGGGGGAUGGAAUUCCGCGUGUAGCAGUGAAAUGCGUAGAUAUGCGGAGGAACACCGAUGGCGAAGGCAGUCCCCUGGGCCUGUACUGACGCUCAUGCACGAAAGCGUGGGGAGCAAACAGG